UUGCAAAAUUCCAAGAAAAAUAAAAACAAAAAUCUGAAAAAUUAUGAAACGCAAACUAUAGAAAAACGCUAAAUUGAAUAACAUCAAAGAGAAAAACAAAAAUUCAAAAUUGCAAAGUUCAAGUGAAAAAAUUUACGUGUAGAAUCCCACUGUAGAAUAAAAUUAAAAUGAAGUGGGAAAUCUCACAAAAUCUUUUCUUUUCCUCUUUCCUUCUCGCGUAUAUAAUCAACUACAAUCGUAUAAAAAAACCCAACCGGCUCGAAAAUCCACCCUGAUAUAACAUUUAUUGAUCUUCGUACCUUUCAUUUCAAACAAUGUAAUUUCCCAAUCUCGUUUUCUAUCUUUUCAGAUUCCAUGGGAGACGAAAUCCAAGUGGAUUGAUACACCUAACUGGUGCCACCAAAAGAGGGGAACUUCCAUGGAUGGAGAGUGUGUGAGGUACCAACAACAAAUCUCCCGCCAGCCAUUUAUGACCAACAAGCAUCAGACCUUAGACGACUGUAAGUUCACCUAAAGUAAGGCUAACUCCAAAGCAUUUGGACAGUCCAUUCACCAACAAAUGCCAUCAUCCUCUGUUACUCAUCAAAAAGGGAAUAGCCUACCCAGACAGCAAAAACGGUAAGUGUCUCAUCCCUGUAUACAGUAGGUAUAGCGUAGGAACUAGGACAAUAUUUCUUUCCACCCUGGGGGGAGUUCGAACAAAAACCAAUAAGAAACAACUAUUAAGUGAAAUACCACAGCUCAGGUUG